rnacentral:rRNA from 1 species
CCUACGGGUGGCAGCAGUGGGGAAUAUUGCGCAAUGGGCGAGAGUCUGAACCAGCCAAGUAGCGUGAAGGAUGACUGCCCUAUGGGUUGUAAACUUCUUUUAUAUGGGAAUAAAAUGUUCCACGUGUGGGAUUUUGUAUGUACCAUAUGAAUAAGGAUCGGCUAACUCCGUGCCAGCAGCCGCGGUAAUACGGAGGAUCCGAGCGUUAUCCGGAUUUAUUGGGUUUAAAGGGAGCGUAGGUGGAUUGUUAAGUCAGUUGUGAAAGUUUGCGGCUCAACCGUAAAAUUGCAGUUGAAACUGGCAGUCUUGAGUACAGUAGAGGUGGGCGGAAUUCGUGGUGUAGCGGUGAAAUGCUUAGAUAUCACGAAGAACUCCGAUUGCGAAGGCAGUUCACUGGACUGCAACUGACACUGAGGCUCGAAAGUGUGGGUAUCAAACAGGAUUAGAUACCCUGGUAGUC